CCUACGGGUGGCAGCAGUGAGGAAUAUUGGUCAAUGGGCGAGAGCCUGAACCAGCCAAGCCGCGUGAGGGAGUACUGCCCUAUGGGUUGUAAACCUCUUUUGUCAGGGAACAAAGGCGGGGACGUGUCUCCGGAUGAGCGUACCUGAAGAAAAAGCAUCGGCUAACUCCGUGCCAGCAGCCGCGGGAAUACGGAGGAUGCGAGCGUUAUCCGGAUUUAUUGGGUUUAACGGGUGCGCAGGCGGUUUGUUAAGUCAGCGGUCAAAGGCCCGGGCUCAACCCGGGCCCGGCGUUGGAAACGGGGAGUCUCGAGUGGAGAAGAGGAAAGCGGAAUGCGCGGUGUAGCGGUGAAAUGCGUAGAUAUCUGGCAGAACACCAGUGGCGAAGGCGGCUCGCCGG
rnacentral:rRNA from 1 species